GGUGCUUACACAUGCAAGUCGAGCGGAAAGGCCCUUCGGGGUACUCGAGCGGCGAACGGGUGAGUAACACGUGAGCAACCUGCCCCAGGCUUUGGGAUAACCCCGGGAAACCGGGGCUAAUACCGAAUAUGACCUCCGAUCGCAUGGUUGGUGGUGGAAAGUUUUUCGGCUUGGGAUGGGCUCGCGGCCUAUCAGCUUGUUGGUGGGGUGAUGGCCUACCAAGGCGACGACGGGUAGCCGGCCUGAGAGGGCGACCGGCCACACUGGGACUGAGACACGGCCCAGACUCCUACGGGAGGCAGCAGUGGGGAAUAUUGCACAAUGGGCGGAAGCCUGAUGCAGCGACGCCGCGUGAGGGAUGACGGCCUUCGGGUUGUAAACCUCUUUCAGCAGGGACGAAGCGUAAGUGACGGUACCUGCAGAAGAAGCGCCGGCCAACUACGUGCCAGCAGCCGCGGUAAGACGUAGGGCGCGAGCGUUGUCCGGAUUUAUUGGGCGUAAAGAGCUCGUAGGCGGCUUGUCGCGUCGACUGUGAAAACCCGCAGCUCAACUGCGGGCCUGCAGUCGAUACGGGCAGGCUAGAGUUCGGUAGGGGAGACUGGAAUUCCUGGUGUAGCGGUGAAAUGCGCAGAUAUCAGGAGGAACACCGGUGGCGAAGGCGGGUCUCUGGGCCGAUACUGACGCUGAGGAGCGAAAGCGUGGGGAGCGAACAGGAUUAGAUACCCUGGUAGUCCACGCUGUAAACGUUGGGCGCUAGGUGUGGGGGGCCUCUCCGGUUCCCUGUGCCGCAGCUAACGCAUUAAGCGCCCCGCCUGGGGAGUACGGCCGCAAGGCUAAAACUCAAAGGAAU
rnacentral:rRNA from 2 species